AGAAUCCUUCUUUACAGCCUUUCUUCUUUCCCCUGUGCUGCUCUCAGAACAUCUGCCUAAAAUUCUUCUUCCUCUUCACUGCUCUGUAUUCCUCAACCACCAAAACCCAGGGAGUCUUAACCUUUAUAUCUCUUAAAACUGUCCUUUUCCAUGGAUAUUUAACUCAUCUCUCUCCCGGCUUAUUGAAAGAUUACUGAUCCUCUGACUCCGUUCUUAUGCCUCUCCAAACCGUUUGUCAUUCUGUAGGGUUGCUUCUACACAAAAUGAAUCUGAAAUAUUAAAAUCUUUGCUAGCUCCUUGUGUCCUUAUGAUCAGGUCCAAUCUUUGCUCCGGUACACCAGGCUCUUUUAGAUCUGGCUUCUCUUCCCUUAUAACAAGACUUCACAGAUACACUGAUCUAAUACAGUUCCCUAAAUAUAGUCCUUUUUCUAUUUCACUUCCAGGCUUUAGUAUGUGGAACUUCCUUUGCCAGGAAUCCCCUUUCACCUCUUUCUUUUCACCCACCUAAUCCCGUACCAUCUUUCAGGUUUUGCUGUGGCUCUGGUGUAGGCUGGCAGCUACAGCUCCGAUUAGACCCCUAGCCUGGGAACCUCCAUAUGCUGUGGGAGCCGCCCAAGAAAUGGCAAAAAGACAAAAAAAAGAAAGGAUAUAUAGGGAUAAUGUACACCUUUAUGAUGUUUAUUUGCUCUGUCCUUUUCCCUAGUUAUUUCUCCCACUUUUAAUUCUCACAGUGACGCCUUUCUGUAGCCAAAUUACAUUCCAUUUAACCAUUUUACAGAAAAAGGUAAAUAAUGCAAGAGAUGUUGAGUUUCUUUGUGAAAACAAUUGAUCACUCAGUAAGUGGUGUGAGAUAACAAUACAUUCAUCUGUAAAAUUAAAAAAAAAAAGUGCCAUACGGUCAUAACUCAUACCUUGUGGUAAAAUAAUUUCCAGGUGAAUCUAAGAAUUUAAAGUAAAAAUAAUGUCCCUAAGUAUUGUGAUUUGAAAAAGCCUUUAUUUUAUAAGUUGUUAGCAACACCUAGAAGCUAUAAAGGAAAAUACUAAUAAAUCACAGACAAAAUAGUAAUUUUCUUAAUGUGCAAAAUAUUCCUACAAAUUCU
rnacentral:lncRNA from 1 species